AUUGAACGCUGGCGGCAGGCCUAACACAUGCAAGUCGAGCGGCAGCGGGAAAGUAGCUUGCUACUUUUGCCGGCGAGCGGCGGACGGGUGAGUAAUGCCUGGGAAAUUGCCCAGUCGAGGGGGGUAACAGUUGGAAACGACUGCUAAUACCGCAUACGCCCUACGGGGGAAAGCAGGGGACCUCCGGGCCUUGCGCGAUUGGAUAUGCCCAGGUGGGAUUAGCUAGUUGGUGAGGUAAUGGCUCACCAAGGCGACGAUCCCUAGCUGGUCUGAGAGGAUGAUCAGCCACACUGGAACUGAGACACGGUCCAGACUCCUACGGGAGGCAGCAGUGGGGAAUAUUGCACAAUGGGGGAAACCCUGAUGCAGCCAUGCCGCGUGUGUGAAGAAGGCCUUCGGGUUGUAAAGCACUUUCAGCGAGGAGGAAAGGUUGAUGCCUAGUACGUAUCAACUGUGACGUUACUCGCAGAAGAAGCACCGGCUAACUCCGUGCCAGCCGCCGCCGUAAAAC
rnacentral:rRNA from 1 species